UGCCUGGUAGCGGGGGAUAACUAUUGGAAACGAUAGCUAAUACCGCAUAACAGUAGAUAUCGCAUGAUAGCUGCUUGAAAGGUGCAACUGCACCACUACCAGAUGGACCUGCGUUGUAUUAGCUAGUUGGUGAGGUAACGGCUCACCAAGGCAACGAUACAUAGCCGACCUGAGAGGGUGAUCGGCCACACUGGGACUGAGACACGGCCCAG
rnacentral:rRNA from 1 species